rnacentral:antisense_RNA from 1 species
CUUGGUGUGUCCCCUUCUCUUGGAUCUACUGCAGUUGACAGCAGAUAACUGAAAGCUCGGAAAGCGAAACCGUGGAUAAGCAGGGGAACUGUGGCAUCCCAUUUAAAAUUGCUUCUGAAGAGAAGCAUGAGGUUACAUCUGUAAUCUCCCUGCAGCAGAGUCAACUGCAUAAGAAACCAAAAGACACACCUGCUCCAUGCCAGCUUCGAUAAUUUCUUUGUACCUUCGGCGAAAGAAGCCCAUCUGAAAGGCAGAAAGAAAGAGGAGAAGCUGAGUUAGAAGUGCUGAAGAAUCAGCCAUUGUGACCCCAAGGCAGUCUGUCCCUGGCCUAAGCCACCACAUAAAAAGUCAGACCAUCUGCUGGAAGAACCACAUGGAGAGGCCCUGAGUCGACAUGGAGAGGAAGAAGGACUUAACUGAAUCCAGCCUUCCAGCUGUCCCUACCAAGGUGCCAGGCACGAGAAUGAAGCUGUCUUGGACUCUGAAGACCAGCUUAGCCACCAGGUAAAUGCCACUAAGUGACCUCACUCAAUGUCAUGUGGGACGGAAGAAUCACCCCGCCAAACCCUUCCUGGAUCCCUGACCCAGAAAUUUGUCAGAUGUAAUGGUUGUGAAAAGCCACUCAAUUUGGGGGCAGUUUGUAUGCAGCAUAGCUAGCUGGUAUGAUACAACAGCCUGCAAUUCAGGCAGCAGCAGCACUAACAACGAUGAA